UCUGCAACUCGACUACAUGAAGCUGGAAUCGCUAGUAAUCGCAGAUCAGAAUGCUGCGGUGAAUACGUUCCCGGGUCUUGUACACACCGCCCGUCACACCAUGGGAGCCGGAAAUGCCCGAAGUCAGUGACCCAACCGCAAGGGAGGGAGCUGCCGAAGGUGGAGCUGGUAACUGGGGUGAAGUCGUAACAAGGUACC
rnacentral:rRNA from 1 species